UUCAAUAAUUGUCUCUAAUAUAACUCUGUCAAACACAACACGCGUAUAUAGAGUCUUGCUGUCUUGCGACGCAGACCUACAAAACUUGUAAUGAUCCUUCCGCAGGUUCACCUACGGAAA
rnacentral:misc_RNA from 1 species